CCACCGGAGCCGCCCCGCCGCGCCCGUGGAACUGCAGUACUUCUUCCCCGUCUUCCACUUGGGCUCUAACUACGGCCUCCGCUUUGUGCACUCGGAUGCAAUCACAGCCCCACCAUUGCUAGCCUCGCCUCCCACCAGAUCAACUAAGGAAUCAAUCUUACGAUGGCUGAUGCUCAAUGCAGCGGAGGAUUACAGGUGUAUUGUCGGUAGUUUCAAUUUAAUCGGGUGGUCGUCAUCACCGUGAGGCCGCCGAUGUUUUUGUAACCCCCUAAUUUUGAUGUUUUAAAGUCAGAGUUAGUGAAGUUUGGUUGCUUAUAGCUAGACGAGUGAGCUUAAAAGUAGACUUAUUGUUGUGGUUGUACAAAAGUUUUUGUUUCUGUUCUUGUUGUCUAUGCCCUUUACACAUUGACUGAUGUUUGUUUCUGCCAUCUGAAAAAGCCUUUUCUACCACAGUGUUAUCCCUCGGCGUCAUUCUCAACAAGCACCAGGACAUGGCUUUGUUUCUGCCAAGUAUGUAUAUAUAGAAAAUAUUUAUUCUGCAGAAAUUUGCUAAUUAUUACUAUAGCUUUGAUGCCUACUAGACCAAAUCAAAGGCAGGUGCUUUGUUUAUCAAGUGAAGUAAGUCAAACUGUUAUAGUAGGAGGAUUAUCCUAACAUAACAGUCUUUAUUUGUUUCAUAGAAAUCAUGUACAGUUGGUUCAGACAACGCUUAGCAUAGAUCAAGUUCAGUUGCUCUUGCAUUCUUAGAUCGAUGUUAAAAGGCACAUUGUGAUCUCAUAACGAGCGUUCUAACUGUCAUUUUUAAAAACAGAGUCUGCUAUUUUCCGAAACGAAAUAUGAGAAAUCAAACCGUAUGGUUCUCUAAUUUUAUGGUACUAAAUUUAGAUAUAUUAUAGGCACUAUUAUGAUAGCUUCAUUUAGUUUACAUGAGCAUGCCAAGCUAGAUGAUAUUAUAGGCCUUUAGGUGUUGCUAUUCUCUAUUGUCGGCCACAUCUUAAAUUGUAGUUAUUGGUGUUGUUCUUAAGCACAACCCAAAAUGAUGUGCAUCAAUUGCAUAUUUUUCUAAACCUACCAAAUUUGACCUGUGCUAAUUUUUUCCUUUUAAUAAAAUAGGUUCACCUUCAAAUUUGUAUUUUUCGGUUUUUCCUUCUAUACUAAAUGUGUUUCUGAAAGAGGAUGUCAACAGAGCAUACAGAAGGAGGAGAGAGCAGUAGCGAGAGAGGAGAAGUUAAGAACAAGACACAUGCUUCAGAUUAACUCCUAUUUCUGAACCAAUAUGCUUCUGAUGAUUGAAUUAGAUUAAAAAGUUUUCAGGUUGACCUUUCCAACAAGUAUUAACAUAAUCAGUGGCAGGGCGCCCACGAUCAUCCGUGAUUUGCGUUGAAGUGAGAUAAGAAUCGGGAGAGGAAGGAAAGAGAGGAGGAAGCAUAAUCUUGGGAGUAAGGAAGAUGCUGACAGCUUCUGCAUCCACAAAGUCCAUGUUCAGAAAAGGCAAAAACUAAUCCUUGAGCAAGCUUACUCCUGCAAAUGUUGACCAUCAAACAAUCCUCUUCAUGCCCUGUUGAAAAUAAUUUCUCCACCCAAUGGCAUCUAUCGAGAGCAGGUUGGGCGGCAGCUUGGCAGCCGGAGCAGGCUUCUAUACCUCGGCGUUCUAGGCCGCCGCGGCCAGGAGCUACGUCGGGCAGGCUGGCGU